rnacentral:rRNA from 1 species
GGUUCGAUUAUGGCUCAGAUUGAACGCUGGCGGGAUGCUUUUUACACAUGCAAGUCGGGCACGGACUUCGGUCUGGUGGCGAGUGGCGAACAGGUGAGUAAUGUAUCGGAACGUGCCUAGUAGCGGGGGAUAACUACGCGAAAGCGUAGCUAAUGCCGCAUACCGCCCUUCGGGGGAAAGCGGGGACCUUCGGGCCUCGCACUAUUGAAGCGACCGAUAUCGGAUUAGCUAGUUGGUGGGGUAACGGCUCACCAAGGCGACGAUCCGUAGCUGGUUUUGAGGACGACCAGCCACACUGGGACUGAGACGCGACUGAACUCCUACGGGGAGGCAGCAGUGGGGAAUUUUGGACAAUGGGGGAAACCUGAUCCAGCCAUCCCGUGUGCGAUGAAGGCCUUCGGGUUGUAAAGCACUUUUGGCGGAAAGAAACGGCACGGGAUAAUGCCCGUGCAACUGACGACACCUGCAGAAUAAGCACCGGCUAACUACGUGCCAGCAGCCGCGGUAAUACGUGAGGUGCAACGUUAAUCGGAAUUACUGGGCAAGCGUGCCAGGCGGUUCGGAAAGAAGAUGUGAAAUCCCAGAGCUUAACUUUGAACUGCAUUUUUAACUACCGAGCUAGAGUGUGUCAGAGGAGGUGGAGUGCAUGUAGCAGUGAAAUGCGUAGAUAUGGAGGAACACCGAUGGCGAAGGCAGCCUCCUGGGAUAACACUGACGCUCAUGCCACGAAAGCGUGGGAGCAAACAGGAUUAGAUACCUGGUAGUCAUACUAAACGAUAUCGCGCUUCGCUGUUGGGGCCUUCGGGCCUGGUAGCGCAACUAACGUGAAGUUGACCGCCUGGGGAAGUACGGUCGCAAGAUUAAAGCUCAAAGGAAUUGACGGGGACGCACAAGCAGUGGAUGAUGUGGAUUAAUUCGAUGCAACGCGAAAAACCUUACCUACCCUUGACAUGUCUGGAAUCCCGAAGAGAUUUGGGAGUGCUCGCAAGAGAACCGGAACACAGGUGCUGCAUGGCUGUCGUCAGCUCGUGUCGUGAGAUGUUAGGUUAAGUCCCGCAACGAGCGCAACCCUUGUCAUUAGUUGCUACGAAAGGGCACUCUAAUGAGACUGCCGGUGACAAACCGGAGGAAGGUGAGGAUGACGUCAAGUCCUCAUGGCCCUUAUGGGUAGGGCUUCACACGUCAUACAAUGGUGCAUGGGACAGAGGGUCGCCAACCCGCGAGGGGGGAGCCAAUCGGCUUGAUCGUAGUCCGGAUCGCAGUCUGCAACUCGACUGCGUGAAGUCAAGAUCGCCGGUAAUCGCGGAUCAGCAUGUCGCGGUGAACCGUUCCCGGGUCUUGUACACACCGCCCGUCACACCAUGGGAGUGGGUUUUUACCAGAAGUAGUUAGCCUAACCGUAAGGAGGGCGAUUACCACGGUAAAGUUGUGACUGGGGUGGAAAGUCAUGCUAAGGUAGCCCUGUUACUACCUGGGAGCAUCAGGCGGCCAACAGGGCUGCGCUGUUACGACUUCACCCCGGUAUGGAUCUGCCGUGGUAAUCGCCUCGCUACAGUUAGGCCACUCUGGUAAAACUACACAUGGUGUGGCGGCGGUGUAUUAUUUUUAAGACCGGGUUUGUGUUCACCACGUGUCUUUGAUCCUCGAUACUAGCGUCCGGCUUUUUCAUGGUCGGUGCAAUUUGAUCGGAACUCGGUCUGUGGUUUCUGGGUUGGCUCCCCCCUCACUUGGGUUAACGACGUUUUCUGUCCCGACCGUGGCGAUGUAACCCUACCCAUAAAGGAGCGGGAGCGACGUCAUCCCCCACCUUCACCGGUUUGUGCACCGGCAGUCGACAGAGUGCCUUUCGUAACGUAAUGAUGGGGUGCGCUCGUGCGGGCGCAACCCGGCAUCUCGACUGGCUGACAUUGCCGGGGCCUGGCGGCGCUCCCCCAGAUGCCGGCACAGGGAUUCCGGUAUGUCUGGGGGUAGGUAAGGUUUCGCGUUGCGGCGCAUCAUCCACCCGCUGACGCGGAUCCCGCAAUCGCUGCGGCCGUACUCCCAGGCGGUGACUUCGCGUUAGCUGCGCUACCCGGACUACAGCAGCAGUUGACAUCGUUUAAGGAUUUACCGGAAUUAAUCAUUUCGUGCGACGUGGUGUUCAUCCCCGGGGCGCCUUCGCCAUCGGUGGCCCUCCGCUAUCCCGCACCGCGCGCGCGCGCCCCGCGCCCCUCCCCCUCUCGCGACACGCGAAUUCUUUUCGGUAGUUAAAAAUGCGGAUUUCUCUGGGAUUUCGCAUCUUUCUUUCCGAACCGCCUGCGCGCACCCGCCCAAUAACUCCGAUAACGCGCCCCGCCAUAUUACCGCAGCUCCUUAUUUAUGUAGCAGGCUCAAGGCGCUAAAUUACACGGAGUAUUAGCGAUCCCGUGCCAUUCUUUCUAUAAAAAUUGAGGCUUCAUCACACGCGAAACAACAGAUCGAGGUUUCCCCAUGACCCGCUCUUCCCGUAAAUUCUGGGCCGUCUCGAUCUGGUGUGGCUGGUGUCCUUCAAACGGAUCGUCGCCUUGGUGGUAGCCGUUACCCCUGUGUAAUCCGGUCGGCUACAUGUCCCCGAGGGCGUAUGCAGUAUUAACUACGCUUUCGGCAGUUAUCCCCCUUAAGGGCGUCUUCUCGCCCGGUUCGCCACUCGCCGCCAGUGGGGGUGCGGCCCUUUGCGUAAUGGCAAAAACGUCCGCUAACUGAGCGUAAUCAAACUCUCUGUUACUGCCGCAAAUGCUCGGAUAAUACAU